CUCUGAUUCAGUCAGGAGGAUCAGCUCUAAGUCACUGUUGGAGGUAUCACUUCCAUUUUGAGCGGACUUGGAGUGUUGGGAGGCUUUUCUUCUCCUCUUAUUGUCUGGUCCUUUUCUUUCUAAGCCCCUGGGAAGAAGGAAUGCUGUGGGCUCUAGCCCUACUUCUUCUAGCCAUCCUGCCUCCUGUGAGUGGCAGAGAGACCCCUGGAACAAGACCUCCCUCUGUCUUCAAGUUUCAAGCUUUAGUGACUCCUUAGCCAGAACAUUUCAAGGAUGAAAGACUCUGAAUUUCCUGCUGAAUUGUGGAAAAGCUGAGACGUGGAGGCUACCCUUGUUCCCAGCUUUGGAAUUCUUAGAAGAGCCCCAUAUCAGUACUCUCUAUUAAACCCUUAUGUCAAGGAUAAGAUCUUGCAUGUAAAAUAACUCAAAAACCUUUCUAUUGAUUGAAUGUUGGUGUGAUUCUAUUUUGGACAUAUUGCACUAUAAAGCAAUAAUAUUAAAACUAA